rnacentral:tRNA from 1 species
GGGCGGUUAACUCAGCGGGAGAGUGCUACCUUCACACGGUAGAAGUCGUUGGUUCAAAUCCAAUACCGCCUACCA